CGGACGGGUGAGUAAUGUCUGGGAAACUGCCUGAUGAGGGGGAUAACUACUGGAAACGGUAGCUAAUACCGCAUAACGUCGCAAGACCAAAGAGGGGGACCUUCGGGCCUCUUGCCAUAAGAUGUGCCCAGAUGGGAUUAGCUAGUAGGUGGGGUAACGGCUCACCUAGGCGACGAUCCCUAGCUGGUCUGAGAGGAUGACCAGCCACACUGGAACUGAGACACGGUCCAG
rnacentral:rRNA from 1 species